CCUACGGGGGGCUGCAGUGGGGAAUAUUGGACAAUGGGCGCAAGCCUGAUCCAGCAAUGCCGCGUGUGUGAAGAAGGCCUGCGGGUUGUAAAGCACUUUAAGCAGGAAAGAAGGGGUGAAAGUUAAUACCUUUCAUCAUUGACGUUACAUGCAGAAUAAGCACCGGCUAACUCCGUGCCAGCAGCCGCGGUAAUACGGAGGUACUGGGCGUUAAUCGGACGUAGUGGUCGUGAACCGUCCGUCGGCGAAGCCCUGGGCUUAACCUGGGAACUGCGGUGGAUACUGUCGGGCUAGAGUGUGGUAGAGGGGAGUGGAAUUUCCGGUGUAGCAGUGAAAUGCGUAGAGAUCGGAAGGAACACCAGUGGCGAAGGCGGCUCCCUGGACUAACACUGACGCUGAGGUGCGAAAGCGUGGGGAGCAAACAGGAUUAGAUACCCGUGUAGUC
rnacentral:rRNA from 1 species